CCUACGGGUGGCAGCAGUGAGGAAUAUUGGUCAAUGGGCUUACGCCUGAACCAGCCAAGUCGCGUGAGGGAAGACUGCCCUAUGGGUUGUAAACCUCUUUUGUCAGGGAGCAACGCCUGCUACGUGUGCCGGCCUGAGUGUACCUUACGAACAAGCAUCGGCUAACUCCGUGCCAGCAGCCGCGGUAAUACGGGGGAUGCGAGCGUUAUCCGGAUUUAUGGGGUUUAAAGGGUGCGUAGGCGGAAUGCCAAGUCAGCGGUAAAAUCGCGGGGCUCAACCUCGCUCCGCCGUUGAAACUGGCGUUCUUGAGUGGGCGAGAGGUAGGCGGAAUGCGUGGUGUAGCGGUGAAAUGCAUAGAGAUCACGCAGAACUCCGAUUGCGAAGGCAGCAUACCGGAG
rnacentral:rRNA from 1 species